rnacentral:rRNA from 1 species
GACGAACGCUGGCGGCGUGCUUAACACAUGCAAGUCGAACGGAAAGGCCCUGCUUUUGUGGGGUGCUCGAGUGGCGAACGGGUGAGUAACACGUGAGUAACCUGCCCUUGACUUUGGGAUAACUUCAGGAAACUGGGGCUAAUACCGGAUAGGAGCUCCUGCUGCAUGGUGGGGGUUGGAAAGUUUCGGCGGUUGGGGAUGGACUCGCGGCUUAUCAGCUUGUUGGUGGGGUAGUGGCUUACCAAGGCUUUGACGGGUAGCCGGCCUGAGAGGGUGACCGGCCACCUUGGGACUGAGAUACGGCCCAGACUCCUACGGGAGGCAGCAGUCGGGAAUAUUGCACAAUGGGCGGAAGCCUGAUGCAGCAACGCCGCGUGCGUGAUGACGGCCUUCGGGUUGUAAACCGCUUUCGCCUGUGACGAAGCGUGCGUGACGGUAAUGGGUAAAGAAGCACCGGCUAACUACGUG